rnacentral:rRNA from 1 species
GGCUUAACACAUGCAAGUCGAGGGGUAGCAGGGUAGCAAUACCGCUGACGACCGGCGCACGGGUGAGUAACACGUAUCCAACCUUCCCAUUACUCGGGGAUAGCCUUUCGAAAGAAAGAUUAAUACCCGAUAGUACAAUGAAUAGGCAUCUAUUUAUUGUUAAAGAUUUAUUGGUAAUGGAUGGGGAUGCGUUCCAUUAGAUUGUUGGUGAGGUAACGGCUCACCAAGUCUUCGAUGGAUAGGGGUUCUGAGAGGAAGGUCCCCCACAUUGGUACUGAGACACGGACCAAACUCCUACGGGAGGCAGCAGUGAGGAAUAUUGGUCAAUGGGCGAGAGCCUGAACCAGCCAAGUAGCGUGAAGGAUGACGG